rnacentral:lncRNA from 1 species
UCAGAGCUCACUGCAGCCUUAACCUCCUGGGCUCAAGUGAUUCUCCCACCUCAGUCUCCCUGGGACUACAGGAAGGAGAAGAGUGCUGAAUCAAGGCCCCCAAGGAUUCCCCGUUCCAAUCCCCAGAAGCUGUGAACAUCUCAAUUGGCAAAAGGGACUCUGCGGUGUGACUAAGUGUGCAGGUAGGGACAAGAUAUGAUGAGGGUCCUUAAGGAGGCCAAAGGAUCGACUGGUGUCAGAGAGCUGGCAGCCUAAGGAAGACGUGACCAACCAUGGCUGGCUUUGAAGACGGAGGAAUGGACCAAGAAAAAAAAAAGGGGAACGUGGGCUGACUCUAGAAGCUGGAAAAGGCAACAAAACGGAUUAUUCUCUCCUAGAGCCUUCAAGAGGAACCAGUCCUGUUAAAUCCUUGAUUUUGGCCGGGCGCGGUGGCUCA